AACUGCUGGUAUUUUAUGCAAGGAAAAGUUAGAAAAGUAUUUUGUCUACUGGUAAGACUAAAGUGCUGCACUGUGUUGGAAGAAGACAGAGCACAAAAGCUCUGCAGUUGCUGAGCUACCAUUUGUUUAAUGACUGCCACUGUAAAAUGCUGAUUGAUACGUGUGCUUUAUUUAAUUUUGAUGUUUUUGUCUUAAUCUAUAGUGUUUGCUAGUAUCACCAACUAAUUAACGAUUAACUAAAACCUUUUCUAAAACCUAUGUGACACUGACACUUGAAGCAGUGCCAUGACACUUACAAGAACUACAAUCCGAUUACAAUCACAGACAAAAGGUUUGUGGAGCUUCAAAAGGUGCAAGGGAGCGAAGAUACUGCUCUCCUUGCCAGUCCCUGCUCUCUGCCAUUAACACAGCCUCACAGUGGACCUGUCUGCUGUCUGUAGAUACUGGUAUUGUUUGCCAUCAGUUCACUGUGAGCUGUGGCACACUCCUGGAAUGAGAACACCACGGCAGUGCACUGGAGAAAACAUAAUUUUGAAAUUGCCAUCUGGAAACAUGAGAAAGGCUAAAGAUUACAUGACAUAAAAGUCUUGUGAUUUGGGGUGUGAUGCCACAUGGAUCACUGCUGCUGUCAAGUCAAAUGUCCUUGUGAAUGCUAUUAGAAAACAGCUGUGAACCCUGCAGCACAAGGCUUUAUUUUGCUUAUAAUUUAGAUGGGAAGUCUGCACAGAGCUAGACAGGCUGAAGCUGUGUAAGCAGGGACAUUGCCUAUAUAAGCAUUUCUGUUUGUGCUGCAUUUGUAUUCUUUCCUCUGUGUGCUCAGAAGCUCGCCCUGCAGACUAUCUGAUAGCAGAGCAAUGCAUGGCAGCCCAGUGUUCUGACUUUGUUUCCCACAUCUCAGGAAAGAUCUGUCUUCAGUAAAGCGAGAGAAAGAAGAUUUGUGUCUUCAAGCAGAGUGAUCUGUGAAGCCAUGACCCUGCUGUAGAGAACGCCUUGUCUUUCAUUAUCCCAGGGUUCAGAGGAACAGUGCUAUCAACAUGCAAAGAAAGAGGCUUUUCUAAGAUAUUCUUGGACAGUUUCACAGAAGAUCUUUAAAAUAAAUGUCAGGACUUAGAAUUGAUGUAGAAAGUAUUGGGGGGAAGGCAGAAGCCUUCUACGGCUCUUCAGAUGACUUCUUUGAAGGUCGAGGAAGCAGCUAUCCAUGACCAUCUCAUGUGAGCAAACAUUUUCGCAAACAGAAAGGACGCACUUCAAAGGCUCUCUUGAUAUCAUUAGUGUCUGAGAUAACAAAGUUAUGCUGAAGCUAGCUAUAGCAAACGCUCUCCCUGUCUGUGGGAGACCACACAUCCGUGCUACCAGCACCACCAUUCCACGGCUACACCUGAACCUCUGCUAAGAACUGAGUAUUCAGCACCAGGUAGAUGCAAGGGAAGCAAUGCCUCAAGGGCCACUCUGCUAUCUUGUUUGUGUGCAGGAGGUCUGACUGCAAGUAGAAGCUUGGAAGGUCUAGUUGCUGCAGAGGUUGUAUCUACAGAUAUUGGACUGACGGAACAGCAGCACUGUUCAGAGUGGAGCUGAGCCUGACCUCUUCAAAGGAACCAUUAACACUGCUUGUCAGCUGCAGCCGACACUGCUCCAGGCUUCCCUUACCAGCCAUCCCAGAGUGAAUUAUAAGGGGUGCCUGUUGCUUUACAACACAUCUAAGGGGUCUUGUGAUACCAAAACGCCCUAAACUGAACAAUGGGAGGAUGCUGUUCAGGAUGUACUUUCUUCUUUAUUUCGUCAAUGGCCAACUUCUGCAGUACUCAAUAAAGUUCCCCAUAGAAUGAAGAACACUCACUCUGGGGGCAUAAAUAUACUUUUGAUUAAAAAAAAAGACAUGAUUCAGAUGUUGUAACUGCAGUAUUUUUAAGGUCAGCAUGCCUGUAGCUGCCUGUAGUGGAUGAAAGCAUCCAUCACCAUACAUGGCUUUCACCAUCCAUGCAGGCACACUGUCAGAGCACUAUAAUGCCUUACUGCAAGCCAAAGGCAGCUUCCAAGUCUGCAUAUGCAAGUAAUUAGGAAACUUGAUGUGUGCAGUUCUGUUUUCCCUCUGUUUUCCACAGUACCUAAAACACCGUAUAAAUUAAAGUUAUAAAAAUCUUA